rnacentral:misc_RNA from 1 species
UGUGGGAGCGAGCUUGCUCGCGAUGGGGCCGUGUCAGUCAACAUUGAUAUGACUGACAUACCGCUAUCGCGAGCAAGCUCGCUCCCACA